AAUUGAGAGUCAUUCAACUCCUGGAAAAACAAUUCCUGAUGAGCAUAGGAAAAGGCCCGAUCGAAAGAGAACACAGCCGUUCUCAUUAACCAAGCAGGUUUGAUCUAAAAAAAGAUUGUUUUUCCUCUUCUUACUUUGUACUUCAGGAGAACAGCCACAUUCCCAGACAGCUAUCUGACAUCUAUGUCCCCCCCACUCACAUUUCCAAAUACACGCAGAGGCUCCACGGUCCUGUUUCCAUAAAUACUUGUUAUAUAAAUAACAAAAUCAGUUUCUAUAAACAAAUUCAGUAUCAGUACAUCAAAAUGAAUGAUUUCAGUAGCUAAUGUAUGAACCAUUAUUACACAUUUGCUAUUGUAACAAGUUUUAUGAAACAGGCACCAGGUCUGAAAACACUCAACCCCACACAUAAUCAUACAUAAUGUAGACAAAUUUUAAAUUUGAUCAUAGUUCACCAUUUAAAUUUUUUUCCAUGAAAACUUACAAUAAAUAUAAAGAUAUAUACAGAAAUAUCCAAGUUCUGGCAUUCGCCUGAAUUACAACCAGUAGAUAAAUGUGUUUGUGCGAUUUAUGAGCAGUGAUGGCAGUUUAAAUGAUUUUUAUACAUUAUUCUGACCACUGUGGUGUACACAACAACCUACAGUAACUUGCAGCAAUGAAAUAAUAUUUUGCCUUUCAUUUUUUGUUGUUUAUUUUAGUACUAUCAAACUGAAUUAAUUUCAUUCAAAUAAUAAUAGAGGAUAGUACAUACAUUACCUUGUCGAAAGAUAAACAUAUUACAAACAAUAAUAUGAGAAUAUAAGGACCUUUAGUUAGUUAUCAAAUAAAUUUGAUAUUGAGAUGCAUUAAUAAGAACUACCCUGUAGCUGUUUAUGUAAGUUAACCAGAGUGUAUAGUAUGUUACACGUGCACUAUGUAAAUCUGUAAUCUAUAAAACAUAUUUUAGUAGAAACUUUCAAUUCAUAAACCCACAUGUCAUUACCAAUAUCAUGAGUGAGUGCUUAAGAAAACAUAUAUGUAUAGCAUAAAAAGGAAUGUCAUAUAUGACAAUAACCAACCCUAUCCCCGUGAUCUUUCUUACCUGUAGACAUCAAAAAGAUAUUAAAUGAAUAAAGAUUAAAGAAUACAAAUAAGGAAAACAUCAACUAUCUCUCAUUUCAAUAUUGCACAAAAGCAAAUCAAAGACUCCUUUUCCACAACCACAGAACAGAAAUUGCUUCAUUAGCUGUGUUACAAAUUAAAAUAUACAUUUCUAAAAGUUCAUGAUGAUUUUGCUCUUGGUCAAUCAAAAUGCAAGAUUUAAGUUACUGAUAACUAGCUUUCAAUUUGCUAAUGGCACAUUUUGUCAAACAUGGCACAUAGUAUUUUAUGAAUGCAGCAAAUUUUAAGGUCAACAAAUAAACAAUUUCGAACUUGUAAAACUUGUACAGGCUACAUAACAUAUUCAAAAGGGUCAUACAAUUUACCCCACUGUAAAACACUAUAUUAACAAUAAAUUAGUGUUACUAAUUUCAUGUUGUAUUUCAUCUCUUCCAUUUUCAAAUUGCACAGGGUCUUUAGUCAAAUCCUGCCACCUUUAGACUUCAACCUUGUUAUUUGUAAAUACAGGACUAUAAUCAUCAUCAUCAUUCUACAGAUGAACUUUCCCUAAUCUAUAUUCAUGUACAUAGUACUCAAACUGGCAGCUUGUCAUAUAAAAUUAUGUAAGAGCAAUAGGAGUUGACUAAUAGAAGGAUGUAACUCACUUUUUUGGCCAUUUUGAGACUUUGGUACCAAAAUAAUCAGUAAGAAUUAUGCACAUUAUACAUGUACAGGUAAUAAUAUUUGUAGUUUUGCCAUAUCUAAUAAAGAUGACACUCGACACAUGAGAGAUUCUGAGAACGAUAACGCCUACAUUUCAAAUUUCUAUUGCUUAUAAAGCAAAAUGAGUACUGAAGGACAUCAUCAAUUUUCCAUUUUUGCAUGUCAUCGUUUUUUGAUUGAGCAUGAUGAAAAAUCCACAACCCAAAUUAGGUGGUAAUCGGUCCAUAGGGUUCCAAGAUAUGAUCAUGAAUAAGUAAUUAGCCCCAUUGAAGUCAAUGUAUUAUUGGGCUAGUUCUUGAACCAGGCACAUAUAAUACAUUGACUUUAACGGGACUAAUAUGUAUUCAUAAGGUCAUACAUGUAUCUUGGAGCCCCAUAGACCUAUUCCCACCAAUUUUGGGUUGUGGGUUUUUUUCAUCAUGCUCUACCAAAAUAUGGUAUCAAAAACAAGGAAAUACAAAAUAAAAAGUUAUUUUUGACGUCUUCACUCUCGGUACUCUAUAAUACACUGUACUUGACCACAUCUUAACCGAGAUUUGCUUGGUGGAAAAAUACAAUGCACUUUACUCAGAAUCACAAAGGUUUUUCAAAGUAAAGACCCAAACCCAAGGAGAUAAUCAAUCUGAGGAGAAAGAGUAAGAUGAGACAAUAAGUUGUUUUGUCAAAAUAGGUAUUAAAAUUAAAAGAGAGUUUAUCAAAGCUUGAUAAGACUUGUUGCAAUUUUUCUUCAGGGAUCCUCAAAUUGACAAACAUGAUUCAAAAUUGCUGAUUUUUGUAGACAACUCCCCUUCUGUUUAGUGCACGUAUUUCCAAAUAUUCACCAAAUGUUGUCUUCCAAAAGGCAUCUUUCCACCUUCAGAACACAACAAAUGUUAGGCAUGAGGAGGAGGUAAUCCGAAAUAUGGAAAAUCAAAUGCAAAAUUUGAAAAAUUUGUAUAUAGUUUUAAAACAAAUGGAGAGAUGGCUGUCCACAAUAUCAGCCAUUUUGAAGCAUGUGCACCAAUUUGAGGAUCCCUACAGAAAGAAAGUGUUUUCAAACUUCAAAAAGACUUCAAACUUCUAUAUUAAACUCUCUUCAUAUUUUACAACUGAUUUAUAUGAAAAUUGUUUUAAAUUGCUCCUCUCAUUUUACUCCGUCCUAUGAAAUUGAUUCUUUCCUUGGGUUUCCUUUUUCCCUUCUACUUGUCACACCUAAAUGAUUUCCUGACUCUAUUUUACUGUGAAGAAUUCUAGCCACUAAAAUGAGACAGUCGUGUGAUAAUUUACUGAAAAAACAUUUUUUGAAUUACUUUUCAACAAUUUAUGAUUGAAAGAAUUUAACAAAAUGGAAACAUGUACAUGGACAUGUAGGUCCUGUAGCUUAGAGAUGAAAAACAAAAUCACAAAUUUUCAUUCAGCACAAUUUGUUAACCUUUAAUAACAAAUACUUGAUAUUGUACCUAUUCCCAUUCCUAACAAAAUUAAUGAAUAAAGUGGGCUGAAGAGAAAACUUUAAGGAAGAAAUACAAAAAUAAUAAUCAAAUGAAUACAAUUAAAGUCCUCUCGAAUAAGAAUAAACACAUAGGGAAGGAAACUGAAUUGAGGUAUCAAAAAAGAUUAUCAAAAUCAAAAUUAUAAAAUUAUAAAGAAACCAAAGAAUACAAAAUGAUAAUCUUAAGUACUGUGCAAAAAAAGUGAGAAAAAACCUUGUCCUGAACCAUCAUUUUUCAUAAAGUCUACAUGAAUAUCUCUGCAAUUUAUUGACUUAAUCUAGGAGAUGUUUCCCUACAGUAUACAGAAAAUCAAUUCCAGACUCCAAAUAUAAAAUCUUAAGCCGAAAAGCCAAUAAUAAGCCAGUUCACGAUUGGCUCAUGAUCUACUAUUGAUUCUCAAUGACCUUUGCGACUUUUCAUUAGGAUGAGCACUAACAUUUUUAAAUGAGGAUGAUGUGUAAGCUUUCCCGGCAAAUUAUUCAAAUUCUAAGAAAGAAAGGCAUUUUGUAUACAUAAAGACCAGGUGACUAGAAUAGUAUAUGAGGGGUAAAGUUAGGAAAUCAAUAAGCCUAUUCACAGUUGUAAACUAAAUAGUAAACUGCUAUGCAAGCGGACACAAUACUAGCCUUGAAUAACUUGUACAUGAAAUUACUCAAUAGUAAAUGGUUAUUUCAUUUCCCAAAUCCAACCUAAAAAGUAAAAAGCUGUUUAAGUACUGCAAAAUCUAUCAAAAUCCCCCAAAUUAUAAAAUAAGACUCUAUAAAAGAAGACAACAGAGGCACAAUUAUACAUACAAGAAUGACCCCCCCCCCCCCCCCUCCCCUGUCUCUCUCUCUAUUUCUUAAAUUGGACAGUUGCAAAAACACAAUUUUUCAUAAAUGUAGAAAAAAAAAAUUCCUGGAUAAUUUCACUACAUAAACUUAAAUUAGAAAACAAUUCGAUACCUAAGUUACAAAAGAACCAUAUAAAUAAACUUCAAUAAGUUCAAUUAUAUACAUACAGUAUUCCCAUUUAUUGUACAAUUAAAAAUAUUGAAAGUCAGAUCAUCCCUACUGUUAUGCAUGUACAUGUACAUAUUACAGCUACAUCACUUCUCCUUCCAAACUGAUUUCAAAAACAAAUUUUACUUUAAUUAGCUCAUCACAUUCAACAUUUGUAAAGAAUAAUAUAAAAACUUAAUGGUUUACUGUUUGACAGGCAAAAUGGGUCUUGCUUAAUAUAAAUUCUAUAGAAAUACCAUUCUUAGUCAUUUUUGGUGUGAUUAUUGUACUGUUUGUCAUAUGUCCAAUAAUAAAAUAAAAAUAACUAUUGCUAAUCUAUUUUUGUUAUUCUUCACAUGUCUAUCAUAAGCUUUGAUCAGAUGUGGGUUCCUAGUUGGCGUAUAUGCAUGAAUUAAAUUUCCAAAGAUUAUCAUGACCAAGACAAAGGCCGUUUUGGUCGCCUGAAGCGUCCGAGAAAGCACAGUCGGAGAAAAGUUUGGAGUAGUGCCAGUCUGGACAGAGUUAAUCUGAUCUUCCUCCAACGAAGAUACUCCUCGAAACCAGUAGGAGUAUCUUGGUUGGAGGAAAGUUGGAGUCCAGCACUACUCUCACCUUUCAUUCGACUGGGCUUCCUCUAACCAAAACAGCCUUUGUCUUAGUCAAGAUAAGAGAAAUAUUUUUGGAAUUUUAAUCCAUGGAUGCAUGAUAGAAUCAUAUUGUAAAUUUACCCCCCAAAAUCCCUUUGCAUCCAGAAUUAUAGGCUGGAUGCUCAGUAUACAUGCCUUUGAAAUAUUUAACUACAUUGGCAAAGUUAGAUAAGGGUCAAAAUGGUCUCAUGAAACCACAAAAAUUUCUGCAUUUUCUACAAAUAGUAAGCUAAUUAAAGGCACUUACAUCUCCCCCUUACUGAAUAAAAAACGAAAUCAUAUAAAAGGAAGUAACAUUCAGUUCCAUAUAAAACAAAUAACAAAAAGCAUUAAAGAAAAGUGAAAUUUAGACAGUUUAGAGACAUAGAGAACAAUGUGACUUUUUAAAAAAGUCUGCAUGUUACAUGUAUGUGUAUGUCGAUGAAUGAAAAUUGAAUUCAAA